rnacentral:rRNA from 1 species
UACGAAGGGGGCUAGCGUUGCUCGGAAUCACUGGGCGUAAAGGGUUCGUAGGCGGUGCGGCAAGUCGGGAGUGAAAUCUCUGGGCUUAACCCAGAGGCUGCUUCCGAAACUGCUGUGCUUGAGUGUGGGAGAGGCGCGUGGAAUUGCAGGUGUAGCGGUGAAAUGCGUAGAUAUCUGCAGGAACACCCGUGGCGAAAGCGGCGCGCUGGACCACUACUGACGCUGAGGAACGAAAGCUAGGGGAGCAAACAGG